UUUGAUGUUUUUAUUAGCUGUUUGAACUCUCAAUCUGGUGGCACCCAUUCACUGCAGAGGAUCCAUUGGAGGGCAAGUGAUAUAACGUCUAGGUUACGUACGUAACCCUCGUUCCCUGAAGGAUAUGGGAACUCGCUUAUAUGUAACGUCGUAGUGAAACGACUGAAGGGGAAUGCUAAAUUUCUAUAAAUCUGUUGUGUUGAAGAGACAAGCUCAUCUACAAUCUGGACAGCUUGCAAGAGUGCGGAAGAAUAUGGCCUGAUAUGGAUCACCUCAGAUUUAAUAUCUGUGGUGACUGUCAUCGGCAUCUUCAUUUUUCAGAAGUGGAAGAUGAGUGGUAUACGCAGCUAGAACCCUGAGCAGAUCAUGCUAAGCGCUGUAGUACGUCGGCCGAGUCGUGACGUCAACCUCAUGAAGGAGAAACUGAUCUUCUCAGGUGAGACUGAUCACACAGCUGUGUGGAGAUAAAGCCUGGUUAAUGGACC